rnacentral:rRNA from 1 species
GACGAACGCUGGCUGCGUGCUUAACACAUGCAAGUCGAACGCUGAAGCCCGCAGCUUGCUGUGGGUGGAUGAGUGGCGAACGGGUGAGUAACACGUGAGUAACCUGCCCCUGACUUCGGGAUAAGCCCGGGAACCUGGGUCUAAUACCGGAUACGACCAUCGGACGCAUGUCUGGUGGUGGAAAGGUUUUUCGGUUGGGGAUGGGCUCGCGGCCUAUCAGUUUGUUGGUGAGGUAAUGGCUCACCAAGACGACGACGGGUAGCCGGCCUGAGAGGGCGACCGGCCACACUGGGACUGAGACACGGCCCAGACUCCUACGGGAGGCAGCAGUGGGGAAUAUUGCACAAUGGGGGAAACCCUGAUGCAGCGACGCAGCGUGCGGGAUGACGGCCUUCGGGUUGUAAACCGCUUUCAGCAGGGAAGAAGCGAAAGUGACGGUACCUGCAGAAGAAGUACCGGCUAACUACGUGCCAGCCGCCGCGGUAA